CGCUCCGGUGGCCUAGUGGUAUGUGCGUCCGCUUCGGAUGCGGGAUGUCGUGGGUUCGAUCCACGGUCGAGUUA